rnacentral:miRNA from 1 species
ACACAAGAGAAAUUUAUCCCACUUACCAGGCUGUCUCGCUAAGCAGGACAGCCUGGUAAGUGGGAUAAAUUUCUCUUGUGUU